rnacentral:rRNA from 1 species
GAUGAACGCUGGCGGCGUGCCUAAUACAUGCAAGUCGAGCGAACAGAUGAGGAGCUUGCUCCUCUGACGUUAGCGGCGGACGGGUGAGUAACACGUGGAUAACCUACCUAUAAGACUGGGAUAACUUCGGGAAACCGGAGCUAAUACCGGAUAAUAUAUUGAACCGCAUGGUUCAAUAGUGAAAGACGGUUUUGCUGUCACUUAUAGAUGGAUCCGCGCCGCAUUAGCUAGUUGGUAAGGUAACGGCUUACCAAGGCAACGAUGCGUAGCCGACCUGAGAGGGUGAUCGGCCACACUGGACCUGAGACACGGUCCAGCCUCCUACGGGAGGCAGCAGUAGGGAAUCUUCCGCAAUGGGCGAAAGCCUGACGGAGCAACGCCGCGUGAGUGAUGAAGGUCUUCGGAUCGUAAAACUCUGUUAUUAGGGAAGAACAAAUGUGUAAGUAACUAUGCACGUCUUGACGGUACCUAAUCAGAAAGCCACGGCUAACUACGU